CCUACGGGAGGCUGCAGUGGGGAAUAUUGGACAAUGGGCGAAAGCCUGAUCCAGCCAUGCCGCGUGUGUGAAGAAGGCCUUCGGGUUGUAAAGCACUUUCAGUGGGGAAGAAAGCCUUGGGGCUAAUACCCUCGAGGAAGGACAUCACCCACAGAAGAAGCACCGGCUAACUCCGUGCCAGCAGCCGCGGUAAUACGGAGGGUGCGAGCGUUAAUCGGAAUUACUGGGCGUAAAGCGCGCGUAGGCGGUCUGAUAAGCCGGUUGUGAAAGCCCCGGGCUCAACCUGGGAACGGCAUCCGGAACUGUCAGGCUAGAGUGCAGGAGAGGAAGGUAGAAUUCCCGGUGUAGCGGUGAAAUGCGUAGAGAUCGGGAGGAAUACCAGUGGCGAAGGCGGCCUUCUGGACUGACACUGACGCUGAGGUGCGAAAGCGUGGGUAGCAAACAGGAUUAGAUACCCUUGUAC
rnacentral:rRNA from 1 species